CCAAUAGCGUAUAUUAGUGUUGUUGCGGUUAAAAAGCUCGUAGUUGAAUUUCGGGAUUGGGAUAUAUCGGUCGUGCCUUUAGGGGCAUGAAUCAGUGUGUGGCCAAUUCUCACCUUCUGGUGAAUUGGGAUGCUCUCGGGUGUUUCAAUGAACUAGGACUUUUACUUUGAAAAAAUUAGAGUGUUUAAAGCGGGCAUUUUUGCUUGAAUACGUUAGCAUGGAAUAAUAAAAUAGGACGAUGGUUCUAUUUUGUUGGUUUUAGGACCACGUAAUGAUUAAUAGGGAUAGUUGGGGGCAUUAGUAUUCAAUUGUCAGAGGUGAAAUUCUUGGAUUUAUUGAGGACUAACUACUGCGAAAGCAUUUGCCAAGGAUGUUUUCAUUAAUCAAGAACGAAAGUUAGGGGAUCAAAGACGAUUUAUGUACGUCGUAGUCCUAACCAUAAACUAUGCCGACUAGGAAUCAGACAAAGUUAAUUUUUUAACGACUUGUUUGGUACCUUACG
rnacentral:rRNA from 1 species